rnacentral:rRNA from 1 species
UUAUCUCUGUAGAGUCUGCAUAUCAAUAAGCGGAGGAAAAGAAACUAACAAGGAUUCCCCUAGUAACGGCGAGUGAAGCGGGAAGAGCUCAAAUUUGAAAUCUUCAAGGUUCUACCUUGACGAAUUGUAGUUUAAAGAAGUGUUUUCUGUUGGAGUUUUGGUAAAAGUUCUUUGGAAUAGGACAUCAUAGAGGGUGAGAAUCCCGUAUUUGACCAUUAUUUCCAACUUUGUGAUACACUUUCAAAGAGUCGGAUUGUUUGGGAAUGCAGUCCAAAAUGGGUGGUAAAUUUCAUCUAAAGCUAAAUAUUGGCGAGAGACCGAUAGCGAACAAGUACCGUGAGGGAAAGAUGAAAAGAACUUUGAAAAGAGAGUUAAACAGUACGUGAAAUUGUCAAAAGGGAAGCGUUCGACACCAGUGUUGUUUUCUCGAAAAUCAAUUAAAAAUGGCGGGAUUUUGUGUUGUAUUGACUUUAUCAGCUUUCUGCACUUUUUUCCUAGUCCUUUUUUAAUGCACUUUUCGUUUAACAAGUCAACAUCAAUUUCUUUUGUUGUAAAAGAGUCAUUGGAAGGUGGCUUUCCUUUUCGGAGAAAGUGUUUAUAGCCUUGUGACUUCUGCAAUCGGAGAGAUUGAGGUCUGCAGCGUAGAUCCUUCGGGGUUAGAUACAUUUGUGCUAAGUUAUAGCCUUUUCAUAGACAACUUGUUGACUAUGAUCAGUCAUGUAGCUUACUCGCUUAUGUCAUUUUACCUACGCUUAGGAUGUUGAGUAGCGACAUACGCAC